GACUCACCUGUGGAGCAGCUGGAUGUGCGCUGGCUGCUGGCCGAACAUCUGGUCAUCAGACUGAACCGAGACCAGAUCAUCUACAGCAUCAGCUACAGGAACAGGACUGAACUACUAGCAGGGGGCACCAGCCGUGGAGAUUUCUCCCUGACCAUCACACACACACAGCUAGGAGAAAGCAGAGUGUAUCGAUGUGUGAUUUUCAGAGAAGAGCAGGAUCUGACACUCACAGAGCUUCAGCUCUCAGUAUAAGCUCCUCACUCUCCCAGUGCUGUUUUCAGAGCUGGUGGUGAGGUGGUUCUGCUGUGUUUUGGUUGUGUGGACUGGAUGGAUUCAGAAGCUGAAUUUGUUCAAUGGAAGAGGGGCUGGAUAGUUCUAGUGUGGGUACAGGGAUCUCUACAUGGGCAUCCUCAGUUUACAGACAGACUGUCUCUGCCUAAAGAGAUAGUCCUACAGGAUAACAUCUCUCUGGAGUUAGGGAGUUUACAAGUGCUCAUUUGUGAAGAACAAAGCCUUCAGACUCACUGCAGGGGACCAGGGACUUUACCUGUGCUUCUUUGUGAAGGAUGAAGCCGUCAGACUGGCUGCACAGAUUAAUCUCAGCAUUACAGAUCAUAUGACCUGGUUUGAGGCAGGGUUUGGUUCCUCUUUGCUGCUCCCCCUCCACACUGUAUCUCCAGUGAUUGUGAGCUUCCUGCCUGAUGGAGGGAACAGUUCUGUAUGAGUGUGUGAGGUGGAGAAAGAGCAGAUGGAGUGUAAAGCAUCUUAUUCACACCGUACAGAUCUACAGCAGCACUUCCUGGAGCUAAGGAAGCUCUCUAUGGAGGAUUCUGGAAUGCUCUCAGUGAUGGAGAGAGAAACACAGCACACUGUCAGUGUCCUCUUUAUACAGGUGUUCCCUCCAUCUACAGGUCACACUGUGGAACAAGCAGAUUCACUAUCGGUGCUGAUUUUCAUUGCACCCCUUUCACUGUUACUGCUGGGUUCCAUGUUCACCAUAAUCUCGCAGAUGGUGUGGAGACAGAGGUGUCUCGCAGGAAGCUGAAUCCCAGCACUUAAACCACACUAAUUCCACCAGCAGUAAACAUUCAGAUUCCACUGAGAUUGUCAUAAUUAGGUCAUGACAACCCCCCUUCCUAAAUGACCUUAACAAAUGAUAUUUUAUUUCAGAUUUCUGUAUUUCUCUUGUUAUACAGGCUUUAAAACAUUUUGUUAAACUCUGAAAAGCUGAUAUUUUCAAGACUCUAAAUGAGUGGAUUAUUGCCAUGAAAUCUGGUCAGUUUACAGUGGUUUACUUCAGUUUAAUUUCCUUUCUCUGUGUCAUUUAGUUUUUUUUUAGGUGAUUGUGAGUAGGAUCUUCAGUCAUUUGCUUCUUUCUUAAAGGGGUGAUUCACUGCUGUUCUCACCUACACAACCUCAAUAUUUCAGUAUUUCUGCUCACUUAGAGCUGUUCUGGCUGAAAUCAGAUCUGAAGCAGUGAAGAUAUUUAAUAGUUUAGUAAAGCUUGAUUAAAUAUGUGUGCAUAACAAAAAAAGAAAGAAAGGAAGGAAAAAAUCUUAUGUUCAGAUGUGUUGAAAUGUUUUGUUACAUCUUUAUUUUUAUAUGAAGUGAUAUUGUAUUAAUCUAGUCUGUCUUAAACGGUCAAACUACUGUGACUGUAAGAAUUGAAGUGAGUCUUAUUACCGUAACUGUAAUUUCAGUGUUAUUACAGUAAUAUUCCUGUCUAGAUGGAGAAUCAGACCGUCACUGUCCUGCUGUUCAGAUGAUGAUGUUUCUUUAAACUAAUAAAUGAGUUUAAAAGUA